UGUUCCUUCACCUUUGACACACCUCCUUGGAGAAGUGCCAGGUCUUAGCACAAAAGCAUCAGCUCUGGUGGGGUGACAAGAGCACUCAGAACAACAGCAAAGCAGUGGAAGUGUAACACAAACAAUAGGAAUGACAUUUCCAGGGUAGCGCUGAAGGAGGAUAUCUGAUGGAAGUGCUGCUCUAUCUCAGCUGGACUGUCUGCCCAGGGCAGAGGAAGCCAAAAGAAAUCUGUCUUUGUGCAUCUUACACAUCUUUGGAGAAAAAGGGAGAGAUUGAAAGAAGUAACAGCAAGAACAAAAACAGUGCUUAAGUUCCUAAAGGAAACAUCUGAUGAGUGAGGAGCCUUUGGUACAAGAACUAGUUUCCACUUCAGUGAUGAAGCUUCAUGUGGCCACUUGGGCAACACAAAAGCAAGCACACACAGCCCUUCUCUGCUGAAAUGAGCUUUUGUCCCAAUCCUCCCAUGCCACAGAUCACUACCAGGAAAAGAAGAGCAACUCUCUUCAUGGCAAGAGGAACUGACUGCGAUCCUUCAGCAAACUGAUCUGAAAAAGUCGAAGUAGAUGGAGAGAAGUGCUUCCAUUACCAAUUCAACGCCACUGACUUCCUCUGAAGAGACUAAUCCAGCCUCCAAUUCUGCUCUCACAA